rnacentral:lncRNA from 1 species
GCCUAACCAAUUUUAUUGGUGUCUAAAAAAAGCAACGGGGGACCCCCAUCAAUCUUAACACUUUUUUGGCCAAUUGGAUUAGUUCGAAUCUUGAAUAAAAGUAGCUCAGUAUUUAAAACACUACAUAUGCCUUUCUUCAUGCCUAGUCAAUAUCCUGUCAAAAAUCAUAGUAGGUUUAUUGUGAUAUCCACAAGGCUUGCUAUGGAGAUUGAUGUGGAUUUGUCUUGGUGCAUAUUAUAUGCUUUACGGCAUAUUUGGAUAUGUUGCUUUGUUGUGAUAUCCA